rnacentral:rRNA from 1 species
UACGGGAGGGGGCUAGCGUUGUUCGGAAUUACUGGGCGUAAAGCGCACGUAGGCGGCUUUGUAAGUUAGAGGUGAAAGCCCAGGGCUUAACCCUGGAAUUGCCUUUAAGACUGCAUCGCUAGAAUCGUGGAGAGGUGAGUGGAAUUCCGAGUGUAGAGGUGAAAUUCGUAGAUAUUCGGAAGAACACCAGUGGCGAAGGCGACUCACUGGACACGUAUUGACGCUGAGGUGCGAAAGCGUGGGGAGCAAACA